CGGAAGGUGAAGAUGCCCCGUGGUGUUGUGUGGGCGAGCGGGUGUUCCUGCUGCUCGGGGCGGGUGUGCACGACAAGAGACACACACAUACACAUACACUCGUAAAUCUGUGUGCAUUGCUGUGUGUACCGCACAGAGGUACAUGUAUGUGCACACACACACACGCACAUACAGAGUGUUCGGUGGUGGGAAGCCCAGCCUGGCACACAGGUGAAAAGUGAGGUGCGGGUGAGGCAAAACCUCCUCACAGCGGAAGGUGGUGCAGUAAGGACCAUUCAUUUUUUUCCAGGAGUACUGACAGGAGUUUCACCUGUGGAAAGUCCUCUCGCAGAGCUUCCACACAGGCAAAACGCUCAUUUAUGAAGUCUGAGCCCUUAUCAGCUCGGAGCAGCUUUUGUUUUACUGUGCUCUCGGAGGUCCCAGUUAAAUCACAUCCGUGCUGUGCCGGCUGCUGGCUGUCGCUGUAAAUCCCUGCUCAGGGUCCCACGGAGCUGCUGAGGUGACAGUGAGCCUUCAGCUGAAGCUCAGACACACCAAAGAGCUCCGCACGUUCAACUUGACCUGGGGUGUGAAGGUCACAUCCCCUCUUCACUCGCCAACACCAGCGGUCGCAUUUCCCAAACCUGUGAUAUCAAUGCCUAAUGCCUUUCCUGCAAAAGAACCAAUUUCCUUGUAAUAGAAUAAAUAUUGCAGAUUUCA